rnacentral:lncRNA from 1 species
CUGGCCAAGGUUUUGCUAAAUUGAAAUAUGACUGUACACAGCUCCUAAACUGGAGUGGUCAAUCCCAUCUUAACACACGCACCGACAAGUCAAGUACUUGACUACACCCAGCAGCCUUCCGUCACUGAAUUAGAAAUUCAGGUAGUCCAGUGCCUAAGUGCAGUGAGUUGCUUGCAAGUCACCAUGGCGGUCUCAGGUCGGAGGGACAUUUAUACCCAUAUUUCAUCGAAGCAAAUCUUGACAGUAGAAAUAGCUCCGAAGUCGGUCACGUUCAGUGCAGAUGUACCCUUACAUCUCACCUGUAUGCCAUACCAGUGUCUCCACACUCAUUGGUUAAGAGGACAACCAACCUAUAUGGCACACAACGAUUUAUGCUUGAUAAACAUUGUCGUCCUUGGUAACAACGUAUCAUUUGGUCGCGAACAGAUUUAAGGACUAAACGAUAAAUCCUCCUUUGUUGAGUCUAAAUAGUCUUAAGGACUUCACUACAAUAUAGGAGUUCAUUAGAAGAUGAAAUAUUUUAUGAUGAAAAAAUAUCAAAAUAAUUUUUAUUAAUUCAUAAUUCAUGUACAUAUACAAAAAUGAGCACAACCAUUAACAGGCUGACGAUUGGCUUUGGGACACUAUUUCCACCAAUCUCCCACUUGGCCUAAAGCCAAUUGGUGCAGUAUCUAAUAUCCAUCUUCGACUUGUAGUUGUCGAACUCCUUCACCGUAAUGACUUUAGUGAAUGGGUCAGCCA